UUUUUUUUUUUUUUUUCCUCUCUUUUUCUAGAAUGGCUGAAGCAAAUAGGUGGACAGUUGGGAAGGAGACAGGGAGAUUCUUAAGACUUUAUGAAAUGGAUACCAAAAGCCUACUAAAGUUAGGCAAUUCAUCUAUGAUCCCAUAAGAAUUGUGUAAUUUAAGAACACCAGGAUUUCUCCCUCUUUUGUGAUUUCUUUUUCUAUUUCUCUCUGCCUUGUGGCAACCGUAGAGUCCAGUGCUAACUGUUUAAGAGUGCUUCCUCUGUGGUUGACUCAAAUGCAUGCACACACAUGCACACACAGGGAACUCCCUCCUAUUUCAGUCUCUGAAAGGGCGUUUCAGGAACAUAGACUUGAGGUUUGUCCCACCCUUGCUAAUCCUGAUUCUUAAAGAACCGGAGGAGAAGUUCAAGAAUAUGUGUUGUUCAGUCCCCAAGAUCUUACAAUCUGAAAACGAACUUUGUUUUAGUAAAGUUUCACCUUGUCCCAGUCCCACAUCGUGCUGUUUAAUUGCAGGAUAGUGAAGACAGUGUGUUCACUAACAGUCGCUAUCAUGCUUAUGAUGCUCUUCAUCCAUUAUUUCACCUGUCCUUUGCAGAACGCUUGGAAGUAUCUUCAUUUGACACAUAAGGACACCAAGUUGUAGAUAAAUUUACCAACGAGGUCAAAGACACAUGGCUAAUAAAUAACAAGUUAGGAGUUUCGAAUCUAGGAUUACUAUCUGACCACAAAUCUAGCAUGUUUCACUGAGCUUCAUUGGAAAACUGUUUUCAUUUUCACAUCUUGCUGUUUUCAUCUCUUGCUGUUUUCAAGGUCUAUCUUAAUUUUAUGCCUUCCUUAUGCUACUUAAAGAAAAUAUAGAGGAGUUCCUGUCGUGGCUCAGCAGGAACAAACCUGACCAGUAUCCUUGAGGACAUGGGUUCAAUCCCUUCCCUUGCUCAGUGGGUUAAGGAUCCAGUGUUGCCAUGAGCUGCAGUGUAGGUCACAGAUCCAGCUCGAAUCAGGUGUUGCUGUGGCUAUGGCCUAGGCUGGUAGCUGCAGCUUUGAUUCUACCCCUAGCCUGGGAGCUUCCAAAUGCCACAGGUGUGGCCCUAAAACGACAAAAAAGAAAAAAAAGACCAAAAAAUAAAAUAAUAUAUAGAAAAAAUCGAGGGGAGAAGAAGAAAAAUAGAGAGCAUGCUUCCCGUAGUCUCAACUUCCAAACCAAACCACAUUUUUAUUUUUAGGAUAAAUUAGAGCUGUACCAUCAGUGCUAAGUGAGACCACUUCCAUUAGAAACCCAAGAGCAGUGAUUACAGGUGAUUUUCAUUGGCUGCUGUGUUUGGUUUGCUCUUCUGUCUUAAUCGUAAAAGAUCUGACCAUUGAGUGGUGAAAUUCUACGCCUAAUAUGAGCCGAGUGCCUCUCGUAUUGGCAUAUCUUGCGAAGCGACUUAGCCAUCUAAUAGCUCGCAGAAUGACAUGAAGAGAAGUCCAAUGGAGCAUUGAUUUCCCAGGAGGCUCCCAAGUAGAUCGAGUAACACUAAAAUAAGAUUGUCAAACUAGAAAAUGGUUCUCAUCAGAAUAUUUUCCCCCCUAUAAAUAAAUGGCAUAGACCAGUUCAAAAACUUCACGGACUGUGGAGGCUACGGCUUUGUGUGGUUUCACAAAGUGCUUAUUACCAUUUUUUUAUACUUUUCUGUAACACGAGAUCAAUCUUUUGAUGACUAGAAAUGAGCUUAAACUUGAGAAUUCUCCCCAGUCCCUGGCUUUUGCCCUUUCCUUUAGAGAAAGACAAAAAUAACAAUGAUAAAACCGGCUCACAGCUUCUGCUGCCUGGAGAAUGUUUAAGGAACGUGUCUCAGAACUUUCAAGGUUCUUUUUGCUUAGCUGCUUAACUUACCAUCUGGUACGGGGGAUUCCCAGUCAUAAAGACCGGGGAAGAAGAGCAGUUGUGCUAGUUAUUAAGAAUACAUGCCCCCUAUUUCCUAGGAGAGAACUCUUGCAAAGCAUGUGUUAGCACAAAAAAUACUGAAUUUGGAGUAAGAGUGACCUGAGCUUGCAUCUCAGCAGAGUGUCUUUGGGCAAACGACUGCUUUCUGAGCAUCAGUGUCCUCACUAUAUGAUACAGUCACAGAUUCUUAGUUUUAUUAUUAAAUAUGUCAAUAAGAUUUAAAAGCCAACAUUUUUUUAUUAAGUGUCCGCUCUGUGCCAGGGAUGAUGCUAAGUACUUUAUGAAUAUUAUCUUAUUUAAUCGUCACAAAGCCCUCUUUUACAGUAUCUCUGUCCUUCCUUUGUUUUGGAUGUUUUGUUUGCAGAUGAGAAACUGAGGCUGAGAUAUGGGAAGUCCGUUAUCUAAGGUGACUGCUACUGUGGAAGAACAGGGAUUUAAACUCUCAUAUUUUUGCCCAGGAAUUUUUACUGUAUAAAAAUUUUGCAGUGAGUUUAAUAUCAUUGUUUUAUAAAUGGGGGUGUGUUUAGACAGUUUAGGGGAGGUGUAAGCGAUUAGCUAGCUAUUCAGUGACAGGGUCCUGAAUUCUGUGAAAGCAGAGGUCAAUGGGGGGUCUGACCCUUGGGGAAUCCCUAAAACUAAAUUCUUUCUCUGUCUCAAAAUAAUUGCAAACCUUCGUGACAGAUAGGAGUCUGCUGUCAUUAACUGGAAUGCUGAGCUUUUCAAUUUGGGAAAGAAGGAUCUGCAGCUCUGAAUUUUCUAAGACGGUUGGAACAUCUGGUAUAAAUGCAUGUUGACAUCACAAGGAAUAAAACCUGAAACACAACAGAAAUUAUUCCCUUUGCAAAACGCCUGCUAGAGGGGGAAAUCACAGAGUCAUUCCACCAAAUUUCUUAGCCAUUCUCCCAAGAUUGUGCAUGUUAAUUGCUUGUAGCUGUAGGUUAGUACUUCUAGCUCCUGCGGGGUAGCGAAAUACCAAAUGGCAGGCCCUUCAAUCACAGCAUUACAGACAUUAGGGGCCAGAGAUGCUCGCCAGGUCCUUCUGCCCCUUCUCCACCCACAUGGGCAGUUCUUGAAGACCAGUCUUCAUGUCUUCUUGCCUGGUUGAGUCUGAAGUGAUGGAAUGAUUGGGUUUCCCCAGGGAAGUCAUUAUAAACAUUGUAGAUUUAACUGUGGGGCAAUGCUUUUGAUUCAAACUAUCAUGUUAUUUGCUCAGUUACUCUUAUUAAUUCUAGGUCCCUUCUAGACCCCUCUGCCUGGUCUCUCACCACACAUGUCAAGCUCUUGGGCCGGUGUCCCAAGUUCGCUGCUGAUUUUCGGGGUGUCCUUGGAUGUUUAUGUCUCCUCCCUGGCUCUCCGUCUUCCUUUCUGCAGCAUGGAAGGAUGGGAAGGGAUGGCAUCUGAUCUGUGUUUGUUCCCUUUCUCUCCUUUUUCCUUUCUGUUCUUUCUUUUAUUUCCUUGUGGUCAUUUGUUUGUGCCCUGUCUCUGCCCCUACCUCUUGCCUUCCUCUGUAACUGUCUUCAAAUGAUCCAACCCUCAUUCUGGGUUCCCUGGGUGUGCAGAGGUAGCCCCACCACUUUGGAAAAGCCCGUUUGCUUAUUUCUUCCCAACUCUGGGAUCAGUGAUGUCUCUUAGCUUAAAAUUGGUCUCCGUGGGAGUAUUUGAACCACGGAAUUCAGCAAAGGUGAAAAAUCACCCCCUCCCCAAGGAGAAGCAGUUGUCAAACAGUUAUUGACACACCACUGCUGAGACCACUUUCUGAACAUGGGCAUAAAUGAUCUUCUCUCAGUUAAAAUAACCAUGAGGAAAAAAAAAAUACCUGAUCACCCAGCUUUGAAAGAGCUCGCCUAAAUUUAAUACAUGGGCAAAACUCAUAUUCAAGGAGGGUGUGUCUUGGGGGUGGAUUUGUCAAACAGGUUUUCAGCAUCUUCUCUGUAUCAGGCAUAUGUUUUCUUAAAACAUCCUUUCCACAGCCUUAAAAGAAGGUUUUAUCCCCAUUUUACAUAUAAGGAAACUGAGGCUUAUCUGGCUGUAUAGCACUGGGACAUAUAUCUAGUCACUUAUGAUGGAACAUGAUGGAGGAUAAUGUGAGAAAAAGGAGGUAUAUAUGUAUGUGUCUGUGUCACUUUGUUGUACAGUAGAAAAUUGAAAGAAUGCUGUAAACCAACUUUAAUGGAAAAAAUAAAAAUCAUUUAAAAGCACAAAAAAUGUAAAAAAAAUUCCAAUUAUAAGCUGGAUUUAUAGUCAUACACAUUAAGAUUUUUUUCUUAGUAUUUUUAAAAAGAUAAAGAUCUGUAACUAUUUUGGUUUCAAGAAAAAAAAAAAGAAACUGAGACUUAGCAAAUUAAGUAACUUGCCCAAACUUACGGAAGUGUACGUGGCAGAAGCACACUGUUCAGAAACAACGCGAAAGGCCAGGACCAUUGAUGUUGUGCCCUGUUUAGCAAAUGCUGCAGGUGUAGAGUGAAACUAGAGGUUCUUGAUUCAUACUAAAUCUGCCCAGAACCAUUCCAUGUUUACGGAUUCAGAGAGGAGUCAGGUGAGCCCCUGGGAAUUUUAGAGGCAGUCACUUGACAGGUAAAUGUAAAGCUUAAAAAAAAAAAAAGAAAUUAACUUGUGUGUUUUACCUUGUAAGUGCUCAAGCCUCUAUGUCUAGAAUGACCAGUUGGUUUUAAUAUCUUAAAGUAAACUGGACUAGUUUUCUUAAUUAUUUGUGUGUGCUUUUAAAAAUAAUGUUAGGGCAACUUCGGGCAGAGAUCUUACUCGAACUCCUCUGUGGACCUUUCUGUAACUUCUCCACCUGCCCUCAGGCUCAGCGUCACUGUGACUUAUUAGAGCUUGAAUUCAAGCCCCAGUAUAUUUAACUCUAAAGCACAUGGCUUUCAUCCAUCACGCCAGCCUGCUCUGCACUGACUGGGGAGAAAAGAGUGCCAUGUUGGAUUGGGGAUUAACCGAGUGCAGCCUCGGUAAAUAUCUUUGACCAAGACACUCUUGUCUACAGCAGCCUCCUCCCUACCAGCAUCUUUCAGCCCAUCUCAGAAUGGGACGUUCAUUUGCUUCCAUCUUUUAAUGUAUUGAGGCUGUCCCCACUGCUAAUAGAGAACAGAGGUGCUGGCCACAAUGGGAGCCCUCCAGACAGAACAUGGGUGGACUCUUCAAAGGCCUGGAGCAGGAACUGGGGAGCAGGGGUGGGGGCGGGAGGGCGCUCCGGAACCCAGAUGCCUCCCAGAUGGGGCUUGUUAUCCACACUACUCUCCCACAUUGAAGGGAGGCCAGCAGCGAGCCACAGAAAAUUAGAGGCUUGUGCUGGCGAGGCCAGAUGUGGAGACAACAGGGACAUCCUGUCUCCACUGGCCGGGGUGGCGGCUUUGAGUGCUCUUUGCUGUGGUGGACAGUGUGGGCUUUUUCCUUCCUAGGGUGAAAGUCACAUUAAGAAGUUCUGUUAAGUCAGAAGUCAGGGGAAGUGGUUGUGAAAUGAAGUAAUAGCAUCGUUUCCUUGGAGGAAUACAAAGAAGCUGGAGGGAUUGAGCAAUGCUUGAAGCUCCGCUGUAUCUACUACUGUGCUUUGGCACAUAUUACCUGAUGGAUUCCUAGGGACAGUACACUGACCUGGCCACUACUGAAGAUUUUACAGACAGCAGCAAUAGCAACAGUAAUUCCCUCUAGCUCAGAGAGGUGAAGUGAGUUGGCCAAGGUCGCACAGUAAGUCUUGAAUUUAUAUGGUCUGGACCUUGAACCCUUUCUUCCCUUUAUAUUCGUGUUUGCUUCUCAUUAUGGUCCCUGGACCAAAUGUAUGGACAUCACCUGAGAAUUUGUUACAAUUGCAGAUCCCUGGGCCUCACUCCACACUUAAUAAAUACCCAGAGAGUGGAGCUUAACACGCCCUCCAGGUGAUUUGGACGUGCACUAAAAUUAGAGAAGGGGGCCCCCAUAUCAUCAUGCUGCUGCUGGUGGAAGGAGCCUCUGAAACUCGUCUCUGGAGAUUCUGUAGUCAGCUUCUAUUCCCUUUCAAUUAAAUCUCUAGUUUUUAGAAACAGAGACACAACCCUGCAGGAGGCUUCUGGAUGAGGCAUGGUGAAAUUUGGCUGUCUUCGAUGAAAAUUAAUCCUAGUGAAAUCAUUUUUCGCGUGGCUCAGCCCGACUUCCUCUGGUUCAGUGGCUGCAGGUGCUGAGAUGCAAAGAGGCAAGGGAGCGGCACCUGGAGAAAUGCUUUGUAGCAACUAAAAUCCGGUCUUGACUUCCGGAGUUCUUCACCCACUGAGGGGGCAUCCCAGGGGGCACCAAGGAUGACUGUAGGGCUUGGAUCUCAAAGAAACUAACCUACCAAUAACCUUUCACCAUCCAAAAGUAUGCUUUCCCUCCUGGGCCAUAGUCAGUGAACCAGCACUCAUUAAACCAUGUUCUGGGUCAUUCUUAUCACUGAGGUGGACUCAGCUAAAGCCAGGAAGUGUGAUUCAAAUUAGUAACUUAUUUACUUUCUUAGAGCUGUUUUAGGCCUUCAUUAAAAUCCCAACCAUAGGACACAGAAGCUGGCAGUUUUCACAGCCAAACAUGGCACGUUUGAUAUUUAAAAGGUUAAAAUAUCUUCCAGUGU
rnacentral:lncRNA from 1 species